CGGGCCCCGUGACUUCCCUGGGUUCACGGCAAGGGUGGAACCGGAUUCUGCCUGGAUGGGGAUCUGGAUGGGGGUGGGGGGUUGAUUUGGGAAGCAGAGCACAGCAGCCCAAAUUUGCUUGUAAUGUCGGCGGCUACAGAGGAAAGGCCAAGAAUGGACAGAUUAAUAAAGGGCCAUCUACAAGCCACGAAUAAGGCCAUCACCAGAAGCCAACCCCGCCAGUCCUUGAUCUAGGACUUCCAGACUUCAAAACUGUGAAAAAAAUAAAAUAAAUUU